rnacentral:rRNA from 1 species
UUACUGGGCGUAAAGCGCGCGUAGGUGGUUUGGUAAGCGAGAUGUGAAAGCCCCGGGCUCAACCUGGGAACGGCAUUUCGAACUGUCAGGCUAGAGUAUGGUAGAGGAGUGUGGAAUUUCCUGUGUAGCGGUGAAAUGCGUAGAUAUCAGGAGGAAUACCAAUGGCGAAGGCAACUCUCUGGAUCGACACUGACGCUGAGGUGCGAAAGCGUGGGUAGCAAACAGGAUUAGAUACCCUGGUAGUCCACGCCGUAAACGAUGAGAACUAGCCGUUGGAUCUUAGAUUCAGUGGUACAGCUAACGCAUUAAGUUCUCCGCCUGGGGAGUACGGCCGCAAGGCUAAAACUCAAAUGAAUUGACGGGGGCCCGCACAAGCGGUGGAGCAUGUGGUUUAAUUCGAUGCAACGCGAAGAACCUUACCAACCCUUGACAUCUAGUGAAAUUUCUAGAGAUAGAUUUGUGCCUUCGGGAACACUAUGACAGGUGUUGCAUGGCU